rnacentral:ncRNA from 2 species
CCUGCUGAGUUUAAGCAUAUAAAUAAGCGGAGGAGAAGAAACUUACAAGGAUUCCCCUAGUAACGGCGAGCGAACCGGGAGCAGCCGAGCUUGAGAAUCGGGCGACUGUGCCGUCCGAAUUGUAGUCUGGAGAGGCGUCCUCGGCGACGGACCGGGCCCAAGUCCCCUGGAAAGGGGCGCCUGGGAGGGUGAGAGCCCCGUCCGGCCUAGACCCUGUCGCUCCACGAGGCGCCGUCAAUGAGUCGGUUUGUUUGGGAAUGCAGCUGUAACGCCCCAGAUACAACUUUCCAUAUUCGUAACUCCGA